GAUGAAGAACGUAGCGAAAUGCGAUACUUGGUGUGAAUUGCAGAAUCCCGUGAACCAUCGAGUCUUUGAACGCAAGUUGCGCCCGAAGCCAUUAGGCCGAGGGCACGCCUGCCUGGGCGUCACACGUCUGUGCCCCCCCAUCUACUCCUUCGGGAUUGCGGGGGGCGGAUGAUGGCCUCCCGUGCGCCUCGUCGCGCGGUUGGCAUAAAUGCCAAGUCCUCGGCGACGCACGCCACGACAAUCGGUGGUUGCGAAACCUCGGUUGCCCGUCGUGUGCGGUCGUCGCGCAUCGAGGGCUCGAAAAAAUUGCCGGGCUCCGGCUCGGCUUUCAACGCGACCCCAGGUCAGGCGGGGUUACCCGCUGAAUUUAAGCAUAUCAAUAAGCGGAGGA
rnacentral:misc_RNA from 1 species